CGCGGAGCUAAUACCGCAUAUGUUCGCUCAUUCGGUUGGGCGAGUAAAGCAGCGAUGCGCUUAGGGAUGGGCCUGCGGCGGAUUAGGUAGUUGGUGGGGUAACGGCCUACCAAGCCGAUGAUCCGUAGGGGGCGUGAGAGCGUGGCCCCCCACACUGGCACUGAGACACGGGCCAGACUCCUACGGGAGGCAGCAGUGAGGAAUAUUGCACAAUGGGCGCAAGCCUGAUGCAGCAACGCCGCGUGAGGGACGAAGGCCUUCGGGUUGUAAACCUCUUUUCUGAGGGACGAGGAAGGACGGUACCUCAGGAAUAAGUCUCGGCUAACUACGUGCCAGCAGCCGCGGUAAAACGUAGGAGGCGAGCGUUAUCCGGAUUUACUGGGCGUAAAGCGCGCGCAGGUGGCUUCGUGAGUCGGACAUGAAAGCUCCUGGCUUAACUGGGAGAGGCUGUUCGAUACUGCGGGGCUUGAGGUUGGGAGAGGGACGCGGAAUUCCCGGUGUAGUGGUGGAAUGCGUAGAUAUCGGGAGGAACACCAGUGGCGCAAGCGGCGUCCUGGCCCACACCUGACGCUGAGGUGCGAAAGCGUGGGUAGCAAACAGGAUUAGAUACCCUGGUAGUCCACGCUGUAAACGAUGUCAACUGGGUGUCGGUAGUUUUACACUAUCGGUGCCGAAGCUAACGCG
rnacentral:rRNA from 1 species